rnacentral:tRNA from 1 species
UGGAAAGAGAAGACAUUGCUCCAUAAGUGGAAUUACAAACCACCGCCUCAUUUCAGCCAUCUUACC